UUGGACAAUGGGGGCAACCCUGAUCCAGCCAUCCCGCGUGUGCGAUGAAGGCCUUCGGGUUGUAAAGCACUUUUGGCAGGGAAGAAACAGCCUGGGCUAAUAUCCCGGGCGACUGACGGUACCUGCAGAAUAAGCACCGGCUAACUACGUGCCAGCAGCCGCGGUAAUACGUAGGGUGCAAGCGUUAAUCGGAAUUACUGGGCGUAAAGCGUGCGCAGGCGGUUCGGAAAGAAAGGUGUGAAAUCCCAGGGCUUAACCUUGGAACUGGCCUCUUAACUACCGGGCUAGAGUACGUCAGAGGGGGGUAGAAUUCCACUUGUAGCAGUGGAAUGCGUAGAGAUGUGGAGGAAUACCGAUGGCGAAGGCAGCCCCCUGGGAUGAUACUGACGCUCAUGCACGAAAGCGUGGGG
rnacentral:rRNA from 1 species